UGAUAUUAUUAUCAGUUUCCCUUGCCAACCACGGUUUUGCCAACCCCAGUUUUGAGUAUCCACAUUUAAUAUUCUAUACACCAUUUUGGCUACCAAGGUAUACAGUUUUGAGUAGCCACAGUUUUCCAUGGCCACACAUCAGCCCGUCACCUGCUAUUUUUCCCAUAAGACUUUUGUCUUGCCAACCACAGGAACUUUCAGGAACCCAACCCCAAUGGUUGGCGAGGGAAACCUGUAGGUGAAAGCACAUAUGCUUCAGCAUAUGAAAGCACAUAUAUUCCAACUCAUGUUUCCUGGAAGGAGCAAUGGAAACCCGCUGGAAGUAGACACAGUUAUAUUCUAUUUUUGCAUUCAAUACAACUGUAAAUUUAGUUUUAUAUUACUGAGAUGUUACUCCAGUAUGUAACAAAGUACAUGUAAGGGCAGAAGAUUCUUAUAAGUGACAGCUGUGAAAAAAAUCUUUAGAAAAAGAAUUUUCUAAAGAAUUCUUAGAUAAUUUUUUAAUUCUUUAGAAAAAAGAGUUUUAAAGAUCCGGAGAGA